AUUGAACGCUGGCGGCAGGCCUAACACAUGCAAGUCGAGCGAGCGGCGGACGGGUGAGUAAUGUCUGGGAAACUGCCUGAUGGAGGGGGAUAACUACUGGAAACGGUAGCUAAUACCGCAUACCAUCAGAAGUGCCCAGAUGGGAUUAGCUAGUAGGUGGGGUAACGGCCAACCAAGGCGACGAUCCCUAUCUGGUCUGAGAGGAUGACCAGCCACACUGGAACUGAUACACGGUCCAUGCUCCUACGGGAGGCAGCAGUGGGGAAUAUUGCACAAUUGGCGCAAUCCUGCUGCAGCCAUGCCGCGUGUGUGAAGAAGGCCUUCGGGUUGUAAAGCACUUUCAGCGGGGAGGCGUUACCCGCAGAAGAAGCACCGGCUAACUCCGUGCCAGCCGCCGCGGUAAUGC
rnacentral:rRNA from 1 species